rnacentral:rRNA from 1 species
GACGAACGCUGGCGGCGUGCUUAACACAUGCAAGUCGUACGGUAAGGCCCUUUCGGGGGUACACGAGUGGCGAACGGGUGAGUAACACGUGAGUAACCUGCCCACAACUUUGGGAUAACGCUAGGAAACUGGUGCUAAUACUGGAUAUGUGCUCCUGCUGCAUGGUGGGGGUUGGAAAGCUCCGGCGGUUGUGGAUGGACUCGCGGCCUAUCAGCUUGUUGGUGGGGUAGUGGCCUACCAAGGCGGCGACGGGAAGCCGGCCUGAGAGGGUGACCGGCCACAUUGGGACUGAGAUACGGCCCAGACUCCUACGGGAGGCAGCAGUGGGGAAUAUUGCACAAUGGGCGCAAGCCUGAUGCAGCAACGCCGCGUGCGGGAUGACGGCCUUCGGGUUGUAAACCGCUUUCAGCAGGGACGAAGCUUUUUGUGACGGUACCUGCAGAAGAAGCACCGGCUAACUACGUG